rnacentral:rRNA from 1 species
GCUUGCUUUGAUGCUGGCGACCGGCGAAUGGGUGAGUCACGGCGUGUCAACCUGGCCCUGUGCCCGGGGAUAGCCUGGAAAUGAGGAUUAACACCCGAUAGGUGGCGCUUCCGCAUGGCGGCGCCAUGAAACCGACACAGGAUGGGGACGCGUCGGAUUAGCUUGACGGCGGGGCGACGGCCCACCGUGGCGACGAUCCGCAGGGGUUCUGAGAGGAAGGUCCCCCACACUGGCACUGAGACACGGGCCAGACUCCUACGGGAGGCAGCAGUGAGGAAUAUUGGUCAAUGGGCCGAGAGGCUGAACCAGCCAAGUAGCCGUGCAGGACGACGGCCCUACGGGUUGUAAACUGCUUUUGCGGGAGGAUAAAGGACGCCACGUGUGGCGUUUUGCAGGUAUCCCGUGAAUAAGGACCGGCUAAUUCCGUGCCAGCAGCGGC